ACUAGCGUGUGCUAUGUCCUCUCGUUUAGAUUUGAAAUUGUUGCCAGAGAAGCAAUAAUAUUUAUCAUCAACAUGUACAUGCGUCAGAGAUGACAAUUUGAUGCCAGGGAAAGCAUCUCUCACAAGAUAUGUUGCCUCCUGCAUAUCAACAUGCUUCCAUGUUACAUAGAUCAGAUGGAUACUUGCCAUAUACAACCCUUUAACAGUCGCUACAUGGGCGUUCUCUCGAGCCUGCCACGUUGGAUUUCUACAGUGGCUCUCGACACCUCCCCGAUAGAAAAAUACCAGCCAGGUAACACCUCCCGAUAGAAAAAUAGCGAUGGGAAACAGCGAGCGAAACAGCCAGCGACUGAACAAGCCCGCGUCCCCCCUCCCCCUCCUUCCACUUCAGGAACCCUAGCCGCCGCCUCGUCCUCCUCCUCCCACCACAGCCGCCUCCCCCUUCCCCCGCCCCUCCCCCGCAUCUCAUCCGCCCCAGGUGCAGAGGCGAGCUUCCCGGCGACGGUGGCGCUGGCUCGAGGCAGGGGAACGGCCGAUGCGGGGUCCGUUGGAUCGAGGCGUGGGGAGCGGUGGAUGCGGCGUCGGCGGCACGAGAAGAACAUCGGUUGCAGCCAAUUCGAUGACCUGAUCAAAACGAAAAUACAUCUGUCGCCAUUAGUCCUGGUCUCCUACGCAAGUAAAAAGAGAAAACAAGGAACAUGUUCUAUACGAGAGUGCUACCAAAGGAAACCAAUGAAAAAUCAUGUCGACGUACAGCCCGCCGGUGGGGCCUGGCGAUGUCGCUUUCUGGUGGAGGGUGGCCAUGGACGUGUUGCAGGCGUUGGGGUGGCGCGAGCUCGGAUGUACUCAGGUUGUCAAAAGGCAAACUAUUCCUGAUAUAGGCAAUGAUGAUGAAGUGCCAAUAUCAGGAAGAAAGCGACAUGUACAACAGAGAUUAGGAAAUAAUGUGGUUGUUUCUGAUUCGUAUAGGAGUCGACAUAGUAAUAAAAGGUUUAUAGUUGAAUUAUCUUCAUACAUAUGGUAGGUGCAGGAGGUACCAUGCAAGCAAGCAGGGCGACCAGGAUCAUGCUGCAGGGGCUGGGUAUAUUUCCAGAGAAUGUCAUCAAGGCAGGAUUUUUUCUUCUAAAAUCAGUUUAAGGCCAUGCCCUCCUCUACAACGUACAUGUUGGUGAUGAUGGUGCUGCUACCUGUACACAGGUAUAUUGGGUUUGAUUAGGACAUACUGUAUCUUAAAUGGCAUUCCCCAUUGGGAAAUUAAAACGAUGGAAGGGCCAUAUGCGAAUGGCACCAAAGCAACUUUGAAUGACAAACAUUUGCAAAUCGCAUUUCUAGGUAUGGUUAAUUCAUGCAUUAUUGUUGUAACUCUUUGUUUCAUGAGGAAUUCAGUCACCAAGCCAGUUGGACAGUGGUGAUCACCUCGCACUCCAGCUACCUAUUAUCCCAAGGAUAGAGACUCUAAAGUUCUGAAACUUUCCCUUUCUUUUUACUGCACAUUAAUCUUUUUGAGCUUGAACGAAGUUGUAACUUAAACAUCAGGUGUCAACAUUUAUCACACUCUCCUUGUAAGUAAUGCAUAUCUAGAUGAUGGGCCGGAGUAUGCAUAUCUCCAGGUAAGUCCUCUUUGGACCCUUCCACUUCGUCGGGCUCACCAUUGGAGACUCGGACGCCAGAAUCGGCACCGCUGCUGUGUCUGUUGGUGACGCUCACACAAGAUCCAAAGGCAGCACCUUGGCCAUCUCCCUGCGAACAUCUGACAAUGUGGCCGCCGCCUUGAUUCUACUUGUCUUGAUACCCCAAAGAGAAAAGAGAGGAAAAAUACAGAAUAGAUAGAUAUGAUGCAUUUGUCACUUAUCAUGCCAGUGUUAGGCUUGGAGAUUUCUUCUCAUAUUUAUACAUAAUUUUUGUUAGAAAUCGUAAGAAAAAGAUGGUGCUUGUUGAAGGCAUCACACAAAUUGUGUUUAGAAGUACUGCAAAACGAAAUACAGAGUAGCAGCCAAGCUAAACCUCGGAACAUAAAUGCCUUUAUAUAAAAAUACCACUAGAGUGUGUUCCUGUGGAGUUAAUAUAAGACAAAUGAAUUGUAUCUCACUGUUUACCUAUAUCUUCCCUUAGCAGAGCAGUAUUUUCACAACUAGGGAAUGGAAAAGAAUAUGGACGUGGUCAUCAGAUCGAGCCAGAAGAAGGAAAAUGUACAAUGAACCAGAAUGUACCAUGUCGAGUGGGAACAAUUGACGAGACGCCAACGUUCUGGUUUCGAACCCCUCAACUCCAGUUUAUCCCCUACAUCGCGCCUUCUGUCCUGGACAUCCCCGGCUUCUAUGGUGUUGACAUCUACUUUUCUGCGACGCCCACGUGUGGGUCGAUGAUGGCACAGAUGAGCAACUGCUCGAGCAGGCGAUGAUGAAGGCGAGUGUUGGCUCGGUGGGUGCGGUGGAGGGCGAUGAGGAUGCCAGUGUGGACGUGAAGGCGGACGAAUUCAUCGCAAAGUUCUAUGCGUAGAUGAAAUGCAGCAGCAAGUCUUAGGGCUGAAAUACAACGACUUGAUGGAUAGGAGCAUGUGGACAAGUCAUCGUAUGUAAUGCAUAUUCAAACCAAACCGGAAAUAUAACCUGCUGCUACUCCCCAAGUUUAAUAUACUUCCACUCCAA